AUCUCUUUGAUGAUUAUGGAGGAAUGGAACCAGGGAGCCAUUCACUGAGGCUAGGAAGGUAUACGCUUGGGGAAAGAAGUUGUACGAAGUAGUUAAGGAUAUCAUUCUCUGUAGAUUUCAAAAGCUCGUGAUUUUGAUGAUUUGUUUCCUAUAAUCGAUCAUGAAGGAAAACCUUCAACGGAACAAAAAAUCUACGCCAGUCUUCUGUGGAAGCAACUCAACCACCUUGGGAAUGCUGGCUUUGAUUAAUGUUCUGUAUUACCAUGCCGAUUCGGCUUCUCCUCUUGCUUGGGAGAUCGAUCAUUGGUUUCCUUGUUCAAGUAAUAAUCUAUGGAAACUCUUGUUUUUCUCCUCAAGUUCAAUUCAAUUCUCUCUUUAU